UUUAUUUAUUUUUCCAAUCAGUUAUGAGAUUCAUGUUCACUGAUGUGAGGUUGUCAAUCUGCCACCAUCCAGAGGAAGUCCUGUGAACACAAACAAACAAACAGAGAAGUCAACUGCAAGACCGGUUUCACCACGUUUAUUUUUUUAUGUUUUAUGUUUUAUCAAUUCACCAUCGCUAAAUUUGCUUCUGAAAUGCAGUACCAUGUUAAAUGCACGUUGUAAAUCUUCCUCAGGCUGACAUCGUUGCUGAUUUACAAAGGCAAACUCUAGCUAGCACCUAGCUUCAGUCAUUGAAAACAUGGUGGGCAGAGCUAGCUAGAACUAGUGGUUUCCAUGUACCUCUGUAGGCUAUGCCAUUUCAGCACAAACACGGCUGAUAAGACGUGUUUGCAGUGUAUACAGUUAGAAUCCUUCAAUGCUCAGAGACAAAAUGAAAGCAGGUUAAAGCUAGAACUACAUUAAAAGUUCGUUGUCGGGAAGCUUACCUUGCCUGGCUCUGCUGCACUGAAGUUGAACUAGCUCGCGGUGGCGGCGAGUCCUGUUGUUGCUAGGCAACGAAAGUUUGGUUACUGCAGAACAGAAGCGUCUCAAUUAGUAUACUUCUGUACUUCAAGCACACUCGUUCUAGUUGUACGCUGCCCGCUCUGCUUGCAGUAUGGCUCAGAGACGCUGACGUUGUUCAAUUGAGUACCCUGACACACAAGGGUGGAGUUUGAGACGCACCACACAGUGCUUUCGCACGCAGGCAGCAACCAGGGUAACUUUCAAGGACUUCCUCUGGAUGGUGGCAGAUUGACAACCUCACAUCAGUGAACAUGGAUCUCAUAACUGAUUGGAAAAAUAAAUAAAGUUUUGCACACAAUGUGUUUGUCUGUGUACUUGAAUCACUUCAUAGUAGGCUAGUCUAUAUUGUAUUAAAAAUGGUAAUAACUAAGUAAUUGAGUGGAAAUAAGAAAUAAGACAUUUUAAGACCAUGAAAAUAUGUAAUUUCCAUAAAAUUGAGUGGAAUAGGUGAUAAUGCAUUUUACGGCCCUGAUUCUAUCUUAUUUCCAUAUAACUACUCAAUUGUUUACAAGGUAAUUAAGCAGAAAUAAUACAAGGAUGCUUGGGUGGUCGUUUCUAUGCAAUAACAUAGGAAGAGGAAGUAUUGCACAUUACGGCCCUGAUGUAGCCUAAUUAGUAUGAAACUA